rnacentral:lncRNA from 1 species
UCCAUCUUGAAGGGUGAACCUCUUUCAUUUUGGUGGAUUUAAGCAUUCUGUCUUUCUGAAAAUCAGACACUAAUUUUUUGAACCAGAUGCUUGAUCUUAUGAUGGUUCUCGUUUCUUUCAUCUAAUUCUGUUAGAUGUUAUAUUUGUAAGUUGCCCUUUUUCUUUCUUUUUUUUUUUUUGGGUUGCAUAAGUUGCCCUUUUUUACUAAUUGGAGUCAAACAGGGGGUUUGAGAUUGUGUCAUGGGAAGCAACCCACUAAAGGAGGUUGACUUAUUCUUAAUUUGUCUUUUUGAUUGUUUGCUACCAUUUUCCUUCUUAGAUUUGUGGAACAUGGCAGUUAAUCAAUGGGUUGGAAAUACAAAGCUUGUGGCAUUAGAAGAGCAAGUGGCUCAUAAUAUACAUGUGUAGCUCCAUUAUCAAUGGGUUUAUGGUUCUGCAUAAGCAGGCAACGUUCCAUUGCUUGGAGGUAGAUCAACACAUUAACCAUCCAUCAAAUGAUAAUUAAUCCUUUUGCACAGCAUAACAUUCAAGUGAUAUGGAGCCUUAUUGGUCCUUUUUUUUUUUUUUUGAAUUUUAACAGCAUUGACUGAAAGAAAAAAGAGUAGUAGCAGCUUCGUUACAUG